AUAUGAUUUAAAUAUCGUUAUCAGUUAUCAUAAUAAUUAUAAUGGUAUCAUUUAUCAUUAAUAUCCGAAACCUCCGAUAAACUGCGAUUGCACUGCGCGAUAUUUAUGUUUUCUAACUGCGUGCACUUUAUUGAAUUCAUGCGAAUUCCGAGCGCAGCAUCAAAAAAUGAGAUAUUCGUGUGUUGGUUGUCUGUUGUAUCGCAGUGACUAAUUUUCUGGUUGG